GUUUAUCCUAUUUAAUAACACUUUUAAAGGCAAACAUUACUGUGAUAUUGCUGUUUAUAAUAACCAAAAAUAGAGCAGAUCAAUGAAAGUCAAAGCACUCCGUACAAAAGGCGAAAGAGUUAUGCGUCAACAGUGUCUAUACAUUCCGAUUCCAGGCUAAUUAAAAUACAACUGCUCCACAUUUCGAUCGUGUAUAUCAUUAUUAAAAGACAUAGGUGCAGAGAACAGCGUAUAUCUCUACAUGAUCUCCCGUGAUAAAUAAUUGCGGUGGAGUUCUCUCGUACGGCGAUACCGAGAAUGAAUGCACAGCUCGGUUGCUUAAUGUAUUCCGGUUGACAGAAAAAGGGAUCCGUUGCAGCGUUCUCGAGUUUUUGGAACGAUCGCGCGAGACUUAAUGACGCCGGUAGGCUUUUACAGGGACAUUAUAAUGACUGUGGCUUGCUAUAAAAACUGUGCUCCUUUAUAGUGGCGUUUUUUUUAUAGCAUCUGCUUCAUGUCCUGUUACAUCAUGAUCACUCUUGUGUACAUAAUUUUAUGUGUGAAGUAUUAAUAACAUUAAAUCUUUUUUUUUUACGUGGUCAUAUCAGAGAAUGUGUUUUCUGAAAUAUGAUGACAUUUAUAUGUCUAUUUUCUUUCUCAAUUUUAAUUGAAUUGAAAAUGUAAUGCUUAUAUAUAAACAUUA